rnacentral:rRNA from 1 species
GCGAGUGAAGCGGCAAAAGCUCAAAUUUGAAAUCUGGCUCUUUCAGAGUCCGAGUUGUAAUUUGAAGAAGGUAUCUUUGGGUCUGGCUCUUGUCUAUGUUUCUUGGAACAGAACGUCACAGAGGGUGAGAAUCCCGUGCGAUGAGAUGAUCCAGGCCUAUGUAAAGUUCCUUCGAAGAGUCGAGUUGUUUGGGAAUGCAGCUCUAAGUGGGUGGUAAAUUCCAUCUAAAGCUAAAUAUUGGCGAGAGACCGAUAGCGAACAAGUACAGUGAUGGAAAGAUGAAAAGAACUUUGAAAAGAGAGUGAAAAAGUACGUGAAAUUGUUGAAAGGGAAGGGCUUGAGAUCAGACUUGGUAUUUUGUAUGUUACUUCUUCGGGGGUGGCCUCUACAGUUUAUCGGGCCAGCAUCAGUUUGGGCGGUAGGAGAAUUGCGUUGGAAUGUGGCACGGCUUCGGUUGUGUGUUAUAGCCUUCGUCGAUACUGCCAGCCUAGACUGAGGACUGCGGUUUAUACCUAGGAUGUUGGCAUAAUGAUCUUAAGUCGCCCGUCUUAACACCGACCCAUUACGAGUAAAACUGAAGAGU